rnacentral:pre_miRNA from 1 species
UAGGGUGACCAACUCGUCCUGGUUUUCCCGGGGCUUUUCCUGCUUUUAGCCCUGAAAGCCCCAGGCAAUCCAGGAUGGUUGGUCACCCUGGCCAUUU